CACGUAGGGCGCAAGCGUUGUCCGGAAUUAUUGGGCGUAAAGGGCUCGUAGGCGGUUUGUCGCGUCGGGAGUGAAAACCUUGGGCUUAACUCAGGGCUUGCUUUCGAUACGGGCAGACUAGAGGUAUGCAGGGGAGAACGGAAUUCCUGGUGUAGCGGUGAAAUGCGCAGAUAUCAGGAGGAACACCGGUGGCGAAGGCGGUUCUCUGGGCAUGAUCUGACGCUGAGGAGCGAAAGUGUGGGGAGCGAACAGG
rnacentral:rRNA from 1 species